rnacentral:lncRNA from 1 species
ACCUGAACCAAUUCAUCCACCUGGCCCUGGCACUGGCCAGCAAAUACCAGCCUCGUGACUCGUUACUCAAAGGUGCUGUUAUGGAAGUGCUGCCUACCAUGUUCUAUGAAAAUUCGCACUCUGAAGAUACUCCACUUCAUAACUGUGGACACUUACUUGGCCCAAGGUAUUUCUCUCGGAAAUACAGAGGUGCUACCUGGCCCUCUUUAUGUCACCUUGUGGGGAUUGAGCUUUGGAGAACCAGCACAAGAAAAUGCUGCUAUUCUGGCUAUUGCUACGGAGCAAAUGCCUGGGUAAGACGGACUCCUCCAACAAGGCAGCCACUGUGCAAGUCAAGCCUGUGUGUGUCAAAGGGCACAAAUCCCGAGCUAUAGCCAGAACGUAAUGCACCUAUGUCUACUGUGACAGAGUCCCCAGAGUUUUCAGUAACGGUGACAUUUCGGCCAGCUACAGAGCCCUGGGUGGACUGAAAACAUAGCAAGUCUGUGGUUGAGCCACAAGCAGGCGCCGCAGUGCCCCAAAUCCACAGUUUCUCUUCUGUAACCUUUGAUGCCUCCUUUCCCC